CUAGAAGCAGCGAUCUCUGGAGAACUACUGAUUCUAUACUCGAUUCCUAGUUGCUAUUUAUUGCCUAUCUCAAGUAUCAAAAUCUUCGAGAAAGUAUAACAAGAUUACACAAUUCAAAUUGUAUAUCAUCGCGCCACAAAAAAAAAGGAGAGGUUCAGAGAACCUAGAAUUCUGCAAGUCACGGCCAUCGAAAAAUGAGGCUCCAGGAAUUCUCUAAUAAUCAGAUGUACCAUGUAACCGGAGAUCAGCUAAAGGUGUAUUGAAAACGACCUUUUGAGAUCAAAAGGUGUAUUGAAUAUUUAUAAUUGAACUAACGACGUUGACAAAUUACUUCAGUAACUCAUUACACUAUUUAACCUGCAGUAUAAAUGUUAAUAUCGUAUUUUAUGAUUGUAAAAGAUUGCUUAACCAAAUGUUUUCGACGCUUGUCAAGUGAACACUUUGUAAAGCUGAUUAUCCAAAAUAACAAAUUUGAAUCCGUCAGAUACCGACUCGUUAUGUAAUAACUUAACGUUGACUUUGUGCGUUACAAUGAGUCAGCUUCCUGUAUAUAGCAAGCCAUGAGCAGGUAUUGGAGCAGUUAUUACUCAAUAUACAUUGCGUAACAUUGUGUAAGUCAAUAAACGUCCUGCUGGAAAAACUGAUUUACGAGCUGUUUCGACGUGAAUGUAACUAGAAUCAAAAGGGGCCGAUACCCCUGCACGUCAACUAUCUGUACAAUGUUACUUAACUCCACAAAAUUUGUUUAUUUAUCAUUCGCGAGAUGAAUUUUACUUAGUUACAUUUAAUCUACUUAGUCUUUGUACACUUUGUUGCAAAUGCCAGUCACGCAUGACAAUUUAUAUCCGUAGACUGCAAGGCAUCCGAUGGUGAGGAACGAGUAAUUAAUGUUGCAUGAAUCGAGAGAAGAUUAAUUUUCCUCUUUUGAUGUGCACCUUCAUUAACGAACGUACAGUCAAUUUUACAACGAUCACACUGGAAUUUUUUAGCUAUCUCAUGCAAGAUUUAUUUAAUGAAGUAUAUAAAAAAAAUUACAAACGAAGAUACCUAUAUUUUAAUAAAACAAUCAUUGUCACUUGUCCACCUCACAAAGUGCAGACCAAGUCAAAUUAUCUGUAUGGCAUGAUUUUUAUUUUUCAGUCUUAUCUAUAUCCAACAACUGGUCUGUUAGAUUAACUACUUUCCACUGACAGUCGUAUCUUGUUUGCUAAAAGUAAUUCUUAUGUUCUUCCAUAACAGAAACAGAGACAGAAAUGUAUGUUUUAUCAUGAGUGAUAAAAAAUUUGUUUGUGCACAAAUUCUCAAUUGGAUUGAUUUUUAAGUGGAGGAUAAUUAUAUUGAUUGUUAUCGAUCUCCCUAUUUUCUAGAACAUGAAAAUAAUACUAACUUCAGCUUUAGCGACAGGUAUAUUAAUUCUCAAACUAUGAAUAGAUGCAACAUUUAUA